GAAUGUGAUGAUAUUAUUUUGUCGCCCCAGGCUUAAUUUGCAUCUGCAGAUAGAUGUAAAGUGGUGAUUGACUUUUAUUAUAUCUGAUUC